GAUGAACGCUAGCGGGAGGCUUAACACAUGCAAGUCGAGCGGCAGCACGGGGGCAACCCUGGUGGCGAGCGGCGAACGGGUGAGUAAUACAUCGGAACAUGCCCAGUCGUGGGGGAUAACACUUCGAAAGAAGUGCUAAUACCGCAUACGUCCUGAGGGAGAAAGCGGGGGAUCGCAAGACCUCGCGCGAUUGGAGUGGCCGAUGUCAGAUUAGCUAGUUGGUGGGGUAAAGGCCUACCAAGGCAACGAUCUGUAGCUGGUCUGAGAGGAUGAUCAGCCACACUGGGACUGAGACACGGCCCAGACUCCUACGGGAGGCAGCAGUGGGGAAUUUUGGACAAUGGGGGCAACCCUGAUCCAGCCAUUCCGCGUGAGUGAAGAAGGCCUUCGGGUUGUAAAGCUCUUUCGGCGGGAACGAAACGGCGAGCUCUAACAUAGCUUGCUAAUGACGGUACCUGAAGAAGAAGCACCGGCUAACUACGUGCCAGCAGCCGCAGUAACAC
rnacentral:rRNA from 1 species